AUGGCGCUGGGUGAGCCUUUUCCUGCUGCUACGCAUGAGGCGAUAACGAGCUCUGCCGCACUGGGAAUCAUUGUGUUGCGCGACACUGACAAAGAUAGCGUGGUGGUUCCCUUUUUCCCCAACAGCAGAAGUUGGUGCGGUUAUGUAAUGGUUGAAGUUCAGGAAUAUUUUUGUUGCCUUUUCAGAUUUUGUUUGGGCACAACACUGCGGUUCGCCUGGGUCGUCGUUGCGGUGCGGUUUGGUGUGCAGUCCACCGGUGAGGGUGCUUGCAGUGCUGUUGCGCGAUGCUCACAGUUUUGA
rnacentral:rRNA from 1 species